GAUGAAGAACGUAGCGAAAUGCGAUAAGUAAUGUGAAUUGCAGAAUUCAGUGAAUCAUCGAAUCUUUGAACGCACCUUGCGCCCUUUGGCCAUUCCGAAGGGCAUGCCUGUUUGAGUAUCAUGAACACCUCAACUCUUCAUGGUUUUCCGUGAUGAGCUUGGACUUUGGGGGUCUUGCUGGCCUAUGGUCAGCUCCUCUAAAAUAAAUCAGCUUGCCAGUGUUUGGUGGGUAUCACAGGUGUGAUAACUAUCUACGCUUGUGGUUUUCCACCAGGUAACCUUCAGCAGUGGAGGUUCGCUGGAGCUCACAGAUGUGUCCCUCCUCAGUGAGGACAGCUCUUUGAAUGUUUGAUCUCAAAUCAGGUAGGACUACCCGCUGAACUUAAGCAUAUCAAUAAGCGGAGGA
rnacentral:misc_RNA from 1 species